rnacentral:rRNA from 1 species
CGCGUGGUGAAUAGCUCGGCUCGAGUGCCGACGAAGGACGUGCCAAGCUGCGAUAAGCCUCGGGAACCCGCAUGGAGGGGUCGAACCGAGGAUCUCCGAAUGGGAAUCCCUACAACAAUUGCUUCGCGCAAUAGGGAACGUCCAGAACUGAAACAUCUCAGUAUGGGCAGGAAAAGAAACCGUAAGGGAUGUCGUUAGUAACGGCGAGUGAACGCGACAUAGUCCAAACCGAAGCCUUCGGGCAAUGUGGUGUACGGGCUGGUCAACAACAACGGAGCUUCCGCGAGAAGUCUUCUGGAAUGGAGCGUGAUACAGGGUGACAACCCCGUAUCGCAGAAGCACCGUUGGGGACCAGAUCCCUGAGUAGCGGGGGUCGGAAAUCCCUCGCCAAUGUGGCAGGCAUCUACUGCCAAGACUAAAUACAACUCGAGACCGAUAGUGGACAAGUAGCGUGAGUGAACGCUGAAAAGCACCCUGAGAAAGGAGGUGCAAUAGGGCUUGAAAUCACGCGGUGAUAGAGCGAUGGGGCGUAGAAGGCCGAUCGAAAAACGACCUGGGGGCGACCCCACUGUAGGAAUCGAUCGGAGCCGACGUCUUAUCGUGCGUUUUGAAAAACGAGCCAGGGAGUGUACCUAUGUGGCGAGUCUAACCCGAUUAUCGGGGGAGACGCAGGGAAACCAACAAGGCCGCAGCAUUGCAAGGGCCGCCGUGUUCAAGCGCGGGGAGUCAUAUGGGUACGACCCGAAUCCGAGCGAUCUACGCGUAGGCAAGGUGAAGCAUGGCGAAAGCUAUGUGGAAGCCUGUUAGGGGUGGUGUCCUACAAUACCCUCCCGUGAUCUACGUGUAGGGGUGAAAGGCCCAUCGAGCUCGGUAACAGCUGGUUCCAAUCGAAACAUGUCGAAGCAUGACCUCUGCUAAGGUAGUUUGUCGGGUAGAGCGACCGAUUGGGGUGUCUGCCUCCGAGAGGAGUCAGUGCCCCUGUCAAACUCCAAACCGACAGACGCCGUGGAUGCAGGGAGUCCGGUGUGCGGGGUAAGCCUGUGCACCAUGAGGGAGACAACCCAGAGCUGGGUUAAGGUCCCCAAGUGUGGAUUAAGUGCGAUUUGAAGGUGGUCUCGAGCCCUAGACAGCCGGGAGGUGAGCUUAGAAGCAGCUACCCUCCAAGAAAAGCGUAACAGCUUACCGGCCGAGGUUCGAGGCGCCCAAAAUGAUCGGGGCUCAAAUCCACCACCGAGACC